rnacentral:rRNA from 1 species
AUUGAACGCUGGCGGAAUGCUUUACACAUGCAAGUCGAACGGCAGCACGGGGCAACCUGGUGGCGAGUGGCGAACGGGUGAGUAAUACAUCGGAACGUGCCCAAUCGUGGGGGAUAACGUAGCGAAAGUUGCGCUAAUACCGCAUACGAUCUACGGAUGAAAGCGGGGGAUCGCAAGACCUCGCGCGACUGGAGCGGCCGAUGUCAGAUUAGGUAGUUGGUGGGGUAAAGGCUCACCAAGCCAACGAUCUGUAGCUGGUCUGAGAGGACGACCAGCCACACUGGGACUGAGACACGGCCCAGACUCCUACGGGAGGCAGCAGUGGGGAAUUUUGGACAAUGGGCGCAAGCCUGAUCCAGCCAUUCCGCGUGCAGGAUGAAGGCCUUCGGGUUGUAAACUGCUUUUGUACGGAACGAAACGGUUCUCUCUAAUACAGGGGGCUAAUGACGGUACCGUAAGAAUAAGCACCGGCUAACUACGUGCCAGCCGCCGCAGUAAGAC